GGAGAUUUUUACAAGGCUUACUUUGAGGUGAUGCCUGAACAACCUGGUUUUGAAGAAAGGAGAGAUUUAUACAUGCUGUAUCACUACCUAAAUCACUACAACUUGUUUGGAUCGGGUUACCGAUCUUCUGCAAUGUCCAUAAUUGAUGACUAUCUACGGAUGCUCAAUGUCUAGACACUAUUUUUUUUUCCUCAUUCACUUCAUUUCUUGUAC
rnacentral:misc_RNA from 1 species